AUAUCAGCACACAAAGUUGUGACAUUGAAUAGGCACUCAAAGAUGUUUUGGGCACAUGUAUAACAAAGGGCUGGGGUAGUUGGCAGGACAAGUGUGCAGAUGUAAUAAACAUAUUUAAGUGUAUUAAAUUAAAGAAAAGUAGUAAAAAUACAGAACUAACAAUGGGGACAAGGAUGGAACACAGCAGGAAAAACUAUGAACGUGAACACUGAAAUAAACUAAGCCCUACGUCUGACCUUCAAAGUCCACCUGACCAUCUCCGUUGAGGUCCACAUCUCGGAUGAUCUCAUCAAUAUCUCUCGGAUUCAGCUGUUCACCCAUCAGUUUCUUCAUGGCCUCCCUAAGUUCACUAAGGCUGAUCUGCCCGUCGCCAUUUGAAUCAAACUGCAUACCAAGACAUCACAUGCAAUCCUUAUCUCACUCUGCAGCUGCUUCCUGGCCUCUCUGAUUGGCUGCCCACCUCCUCCUUAACGCUGGCCACCUCCUUCCUCUCCCCGGAGACGCGUCUCCUCUCCUCCUUCGGCUCCUCUGCCUCGCCUGUGGUUGGUGGAUGCACUCGACUCACGUCCCUCCUCUCAUCCUCGGC